CAUUUCUAAGGCUGUGUUUAGACUGGCAGCCCAAUUCUGAUUUAUUUAACUAUUUGGUCUUUCGAAUAAAAAGAUCAGCUCUGAAAAACACCCAAUUAUAUUUCAGAAUUGGGCUGCCUGUCUAAACGCAGCAAUAGUCGCUCAGUUUUUGGUCAUGGUGGAACGCAUCCAAUCACAUGAUUUAGCGGGCAGUUUAAAAUACAGGAAGUGACGUUUGACGACGAUGUAACGCUUUGGUUAAUAAACAACACUUUCGAAGAUGAUUUUGCAACGCUUUUGAACGUUAGCUAAUUCAAAUUAGCAGAGUGUUUUAUUUAUUUGUUUAGCUAACGCAUCAUAAAGAUUUAAAACAAUGUAGAAUGGGAAAACGGGUAUAUUUGUUUUGCUAUGAAGCGUCUGGUGCUAGCUAGCUAGCUUAUCACAACAACUGGAUGGCCUUUGUUUUUCAUGGGUGUUUUUCAGCCAGUGCUGACCAGCGAACUAGUCUUUUCGCCUGUCAACAUCCCUGGAUUUUCUAAAGAUGAAGAGAAAAGUGGCUCGAUUACGGUUAAGUCCAAAUGAAGAAGCGCAACUCAUUCGAGAUGAACACGAAAGGAGAAGGAAGCUGUGAAUAGAACAGGUGCGGGAACAGGAGCGGUAUAUCGCCCUGCAAAUCCGCACGGAGGUGCGGCAGCGACGGGAGCGCGAGCUGCAGAACCUGGCGCAGGAGUUGAAGGAGGAGUGGGAGCGACAACAGAGGGAGAAACAGGAGACCCUGCAAAAGUUAUAUCAGGACAAUCUCCGAGUUUUGGGAGAGGGACAUAGAAGUGCCAAAGAAAAUAAGCCUGACUGUGAGGCAAUUGCACAGAGAAAUUAGGGGAAUAACGUUCGGCAGAUGAGCGCUAUCGAGACGCCAUCAAACAGCUCAAAUCACAGAGACAGAAAGGAGGAGGAGCAAAAUCGUUUUAUUGAGGCUAGGAAGAAGGCCAUACAAGUGGAGAAGGAGAGGGCAGCAACUGUGGCCAACCUCCCAUCCCUUCCACCCAACCCAAUUGAGAAUAUUGAGUCAAGGAAGCUACCUGGAGUGAAGAAAUCGGACAGAGAUGCCUUCUCUGUGACCCACUAUCACAUGCCAGAGACUGCAGUGGACAGGGAAGUUGACAGUACAGCCAAAGGCAUGGGAGGUGGCAGAGGAGGAGGUGCGGCGCCUGCAGGAGCUAGAACGGGAGGAGCAGAGGGAGAGACGGGAGCAGCUGGAGAAAGCUCGUCUUAGGGGCAACCACGCGCUGAGGAGGGAACGGCUCACACAGGACCGAGAGUGCCUCCUGGUGGAGCUGGAACACAUGCAUCAGACAGACCUGUUGAGGCGCAGGCAGAUGAUGGCUCAGAUGCCUGCCCAGAUCUUCUAGCUGCUCUACAAGAGACAGGAGAUGAGGGAGGACUGGCAGAGGGACAUGGAGUUCACCUUUGAGGACAUGUACACUGGAGAGAGUAGUAAGGGUGGGGGGUCCAAAUCAGGAUGAAUUUUUCCGUGCUCUGCUCUGGCCCCGAGUACACAAUUUGUUGGUAUUGCCCUGGUGCAUAGAUAAGUUGUUUUACUUGAUUGAAAUGGAGAGAUUUACCCUAUCCUAGACAGUAGUGUGGACACAUCGUUAUGAGACCUAAUUACCAUUAGUACAUUGGCAUGGAGUUUCUCUAUUCAUCUAAUUAAACCUGUACUGCUCUUUUGCCUGCAGGAGUGAAAGGUGACCUGGUGCUGCAGCUGGUCCCAGAGCCUCUCCCAGCUGUGUCCACUGGCAGCCAGGAUGAACACCUAGACCUGACCCUGGAGGAGGCCACUCCUGACCUUACACCCUCGGCUGGGGCAGAGGAACAACCGGAUGAAGAACCAUCCAGGCCUCUAGGUGGUGCUCCCAGACAGGCCUUGAAGAAGCUACUGACCCGUGUCAGGUCACAGAGAGACCAGUGGAGCUACCGGAGGCUGGUUGACCCCACAUCUGACUGCCAAACUAUUCAGACAGCAGAGCGCGACACGACCUCAGAUGGUACGACCAUUGAGUCAGGCUUUCUGGCCAGCGAAAAGCAGGGCUGACCGUUGACCACUAGUCCCAGACUCCCUGACCCCUCUCAGCCAGCACAAGCUAUAGAGACAAUAGAGGACUCCAUAGUAGCUGGUACCCUGCUCCAUCCUGAUAAACAAGCCAUCAAGAUCCACACAUUUAAACUGAGAGGAAGAGAAGGGAGGAGGAGCUAGAGAGGCAGGAGCAGAUUGCCCUGCUACAGGAUUUAGGGGAGAAGAAGAGCAAGCUGGAGCUACUGCAGGAGGCCCAGGAAGAGAGGGAGCAGCUGCAGACGGCCAUGACCCAAGACACUGCUGCUGCAUCUGGAACACUGAAAACACCAGCCCAGGACGUCAGCCCUGCUGCUCCAUCUCCUGAGUCUACUAUACACUCAGCUGCUGAGGAUGACCACCCCAGGAGAAUCAGAGAGUAUCAGCAGCGUCUCUUAGACCAGAACAGGCUUCAUAAGCAGUCAGUGGAAGAGUCUCACCGGCGUCUGGAAGAGUACCAACACACGCUAAGAAACCGCUAUUCUGGUGUAACUACGGCAACAUGUCUCCCUCCUGGUACCACAGCCCGUCCUCUACCACACUUUAAAGGAGGAAUCAUUCCCCCGGUAGUGCCACUAGAACUCCCCUCUGGCUCCCCUGUCUCCCUGUAGCACUUAGUACCCACUCUAGAGCUCACACCCCUCUGGACCUCUCCACACGGGAGCCCUCCAUCUUGGCUCAAACUCUCUUCCUUCCUGGCGCAACAGUCUGCUCGCAUAUCAACUCCAGGGCCUCACCAGUGCAGCUCGAACCCACCGCUUAAAGCCUAAGAGACCAAAGAGCAGGUGUUUCUGCUUGGCUGGCGGACAAUGUGUUUAGUAGGGUCACAGAGGACCUCCCUGAGAAGCUACCUGGCACCUCUACCUCGUUGGACCCCCAGUCCUACAGACCACAUCCUGUUUCCCUCCACUCUACUCCACGCAUCCCACUCCCAUCAACAGCUGACUCCAUCCCAGCCAUUAGCCCAACCCUUUGAGAAGAGUCAGCUACUCUCCCUGGGGAGGCCCCGGUGAAGCCUGGGCCUGUCCUGUGGGCCUCAGCCAGGUCUGGGGAAGAGGUGGAGAGGCAGAGGCAGGAGAUACGUGAGGCCCAGAGGGAGCAGAGGGAAGAACGGAGAUGGCUGGAGGAAGAGCAGAGGAGGAGACAGAGGGAGGUGUUAGACACUGCUCACUGCUGACGACACACAGCCUGGUUCAGAGAUCGCUGAUGGUUUGGGGUCAAAGGUCCUGGGGUCAGAGUGUGUCCAUCUGAUUGCAGCUCUGCUCAGGGCCAUCGGAGUCCAAUGGGCAAACAUCAUCAUCUGUAGAAGCUAAUCAGAGCCAAGACAACACACUCAAUGUCCAGAGUUCACACCCAGACAGACCCGCCCCUCACCAACUUCCCCAACCACCACCCCCGAGCAGCCAAACCCCUGGUGGCCUGCGCCAGGCUGGUCGUCAUGGUGAUGACAGAGCAGCAUGAGCUCAGGCCUGAUCACAGGUCCAGAAGUGAGUGUGAGGCUGUCUCGUAUUGAAAGGGCAUUUCCAGAAGAACAGGACCCCUUGGCCCACUCUGAGAGAGGUCACUCCAGCACCUCUGUGUUCAGUGCAGGGGAACACACAGCUGGGAGUGAGACAUUAACCAGGUCUGGUAGAUCCAGCAAGCUAUCCUGGAGAGAGAGAGAUUACAGCUGGAGGCUGGUGCCUCUCCUGAACCUGUUUUGUCCAGUUGGAGAUCCUGUCCUUCCAGUCAGCCGGUAGACCCUCAGAACCAGACUACCUGUCUUCCACCACCAUCUCUUCUGGCAGCUUCGCCACCACUGACCCUGAACACACCUCCACCAAAAGUGUGUGUGUGUGUGACUUGUUUAUAAGCCUAAUCAAUUGAGUAUCUAUCCAGGCCAGUCAUGUCAGAAAUUCUAUGUGAUAAAUGAUAGUUGCAUUUAAAAUGGAGAAAUCUAAUCCUCUGUUUUAUUCCCCACCCCCAUAAGACUCUUCCCUGCUCUUGGCUGGGUUUAGAAGAGGGAAGAAAUCAUCGGUCAAUGGCUCCUCUUCAUGAAGACACAGUUCCUGUAGAGACGUAUCUGGUCCUGGGUCUCCCAUCUCAGACUCACUCCUACACAGCAGCAGUAUCCAGCGCAUCAUAGACAAAUACACCCGGGAGCUCAACCUCUCUCUCAGUUCUGCUGGGAACCAGAUGGGAGCUGAUGGGUCUAACUCCCUAGGCUGGGUGGAUCUGAGAGGCUCAGGCCAGACAGGAGUGUCAUCUGACCCAGAGGGAGCCCCUGAAGCCCAUUCAUUGAGCAGCUCCUUUCUCCCUGGACUGGAACUUCUGCCACACUACCAGUGCCUGCAACGCUCUGGCACCAGCUCCCAGGAAGCAGACAGGACUGGGGCCUCCGACUCCUUCCACCCCCUCCUGGCUGAAGUCACACACAACAAGACAGCUGAACCCUCCAUGACCUUUCACCUUCCAGAAGAGGAAGUGGAGGGGCUAUGUUCCCACGAAGAAGAAAGUGACCAUGAAGAACCUGCAGGGGACCUUGAACUCUCUGCAUGCUCAGUUGAGUUUGUGGACGACACUUGGUCUGUCACCUCUGACCCCCCCCCUCCUGAGUGCCUGAGAGGAGGGGAGGAACCACCUCAGCCCUCGCCCGCCCUGCACGACUCCUUGUACCAGCUGACCAUGUCCCAGUGCCUCCCUCAUAACUCUGCUCUGGAUGUAUCCCCAGGAGCAGAGGUGGGGGGGUCUGGCAGCAUGUUCCCUCUCUCUGUGAAGAUGUCCCCACUUUGGACAAGCCACUUGAAGGCGGGGACACUGAUAUGGAGAGCACACCAGCACCUCAGACAGUUGACCAAUGAGGUGCUAUUACCAUUAAGGACCUGGGUGCAGGAGAGCCGGAUGCCCAGCUAUGUUCAGAGUCAAAGAUCAGCCCUCCCAUCUGGGAGAGAAUAAUGGUGGGCAGUGUGAAGGGGAUAAUGGACGAUUCCAUGCUGACCCUGAUGAGCCUGACAGACACCACAUUAAAGGACCACGGACUCGCUGAGGAAGGAGAGAUGGAUGAGGUAUCAGACCAAUAAGGCAUUGUGGAAAAGGAAUCAGAGUGGACAGUGUUGCCAGAGGAGGACGCCAGCCUACAGGACAACCCCCUCUCAUGCAGUAAUGCUGCUGGAGUUCCAGUCGUGUCCCAGCGUGAAUCUACAGGAGGCCUUCCAGCAGAAACGCAGAGCCCUGAUCCAGAGGUCUGCCCGCAGGGUGGAGGAGAUUCAGGCCAAGACGUCUGAAGACAAAGCAAACACCAGGGCCCAGUCUGAAACCACUGAGACCAGGGCCAACACAACCACCAGGGCCCAGUCUGACCCAACCACUGUUCAGUCAUCCACUACUAAACCCAGGAGGGAGGGGAGGAGUGCAGAGUCAACCCAUGCAGGAGUGGAUUCCAAGCAGAAAAAGCAACAGCCAAAGCUCCAAACUCCCUUGCAGCCUCCCAUGCUAGCCAAGCUGAAGAAGGUUGGGGAGGUGAGGAUCAGCACUCCUGAGAUGAGGAUACAGGAUGUGGCUGACAUGCGCCAGAGAACAGAGAGGUUGUACAGCCGACUAGAUGAGGUAAAGCUUCAGGAGGAGGUCAGGAGCAGACAGGAGGCAUAUGCCAAAAACGGGAGAAGGCCAAAGAGUUUCACAAGAAGCUACGGGCCAAGCAGUCUCCGCAAUGAUACUGAAUAUCAGUUUUAUCUGUUGUCGUGUGUUCUGUGUUUGCACUUAUUUUGUACUUACAUGUGUUUUUGUACAGUUUAAUCAGUAAUGUAAAAUAUAUUUUACGAGUGUGUAUAUAAUCUGCGUUCAGUCUAUUCAUCACAAUUUACUGUGUUCACACAACAAAGGCAGCCAGUGCACUAUUGCACCUUGAAUGCUGGCGGUACACCCAUUGCAUUAUGAGAAUGUUAUGUUGCCUGUAAAAAUAUUUUAGUUUCAGGUUUUUAUAACCAAUAAAGUUGUUUGUUGCUGAUUUUGCCUAUCCUUAUAAGUUGUAUUAUGGGAGGCCACUUGACCUGAAAAGAUUGGAAAACGUCUAGUCUCAUAGACGUAAGCUAAUGUUAACGUUAGCUAGAAACUAACUUUAGCCAACACUCAUUGAUGCAAUUUAGCUACUUACAGUAACG
rnacentral:lncRNA from 1 species